GAUGAAGAACGUAGCGAAAUGCGAUACUUGGUGUGAAUUGCAGAAUCCCGUGAACCAUCGAGUCUUUGAACGCAAGUUGCGCCUCAAGCCAUUAGGUUGAGGGCACGUCUGCCUGGGCGUCACAUAUCGUUGCCUGAUGCCAGUUUCCUCGUGAUGGGUGACUGUGCAGGGCGAAUGAUGGCUUCCCGUGAGCAUUGUUGCCUCAUGGUUGGUUGAAAAUUGAGUCCUUGGUAGGGAGCGCCGUGAUAGAUGGUGGUUGAGUGACGAACGAGACCCAAUCAUGUGAGACCCCUACCGAAUUUGGCCUUCAUGACCCACAUGCGUCUUUGGAACGCUCAUGACGAGACCUCAGGUCAGGCGGGGCUACCCGCUGGGUUUAAGCAUAUCAAUAAGCGGAGGA
rnacentral:misc_RNA from 1 species